UCCUGGCGCUCCAGAGCUUCCUGUAGAACUAGGCACCCACAGUUUUCAACUGAAAACAUCCUUGCUUAGCUUCUUUGCUUGCCCCCUUUUACUUCUAAGAGCACUCUCUCAAUAAAUCACUUUUAUAAGAAUCUUUUUCUUAGGUUCUACUUUUAGGGAACUCAAGGCAAGAUGGAUGGUACUGGAAGUGGACCUGGGAAGCAAAGUCGUAGGUGGGAUUCUGGAGGAGGAUGACGACGAGGCCCCUGUCUCUGGUGCCCAGAAAAUGUGACUAACCAGAAUCCUGAAGAAAUAGUGCCUGGAUGGAGUAAACUUAAUGGGAGAAGCACGUGGGUCUGAGCAGUGCAAAGGGGUGGACUGCGGUGGUUGUUGGCACCCCUCCCAUUCCCCAGCAGCUCCACAUUCUUAGCCUUGGCUCCUCCAGCUCCCUCUGACUUCAAAGGAAACUCUGCAUGAAGGAGGAGGGCACACAAUAGGAGAAUUGGUCUGAUUAUCCCUCUCUGUUUGGAAAUGGGUAAAGAUUAUAGAUAUGUUUUCUUUUUUCUGUGCUUUGGAUUAUAUAAUGUCAAUUACCUCAAGCAAAGCCCCCUACCCAGGCUAAUGCACUGAUUUGGAUUAUACCCAAAUUGCAUA